AUUGAACGCUGGCGGCAUGCCUUACACAUGCAAGUCGAACGGCAGCGGGGACUUCGGUCCGCCGGCGAGUGGCGAACGGGUGAGUAAAGUAUCGGAACGUACCUUUCAGUGGGGGAUAACGUAGCGAAAGUUACGCUAAUACCGCAUAUUCUGUGAGCAGGAAAGCAGGGGAUCGCAAGACCUUGCGCUGAUUGAGCGGCCGAUAUCAGAUUAGCUAGUUGGUGAGGUAAAGGCUCACCAAGGCGACGAUCUGUAGCGGGUCUGAGAGGAUGGUCCGCCAAACUGGAACGGAGAGACGGUCCAGACUCCUACGGGAGGCAGCAGUGGGGAAUUUUGGACAAUGGGGGCAACCCUGAUCCAGCCAUGCCGCGUGAGUGAAGAAGGCCGUCGGGUUGUAAAGCUCUUUCGGCCGGGAGGAAAUCGCACAGGCUAAUACCCUGUGUGGAUGACAGUACCGGAAUAAGAAGCACCGGCUAACUACGUGCCAGCAGCCGCAGUAAUAC
rnacentral:rRNA from 1 species